UCUAUUUCGUUAAGAAAAAAAAAAAGCCCUCGGCUUUUGAACGAACUAGCAGCAGCAGAUGGCGAGCGGAGCCCUCAGCUUCAGCACCUCCCUCCUACCGUCCUCGGGCCGAGUACCGAUCCGUACAAGCCCGAACAAGAUCGGGCCCAGGGCUCGAACAGUCACGGCAAGGUUCGAGAAACCGCUGGAGGAGCUCUACCACGUGCGGGUGGAGAGAGGGGUACCGAAGAAGCGGCUGGAGGAGCUGGGCGUCUCUCGGUGGUCGAUGUGGAAAACCGGCAAGUGCCGGUUGCCUUGGGACUGGCACGUGGACCAGCUGGUCUAUAUUGUGAGAGGGGAAGUGAGGGUCGUGCCCGAGGGCGGCAAGCGGUCGAUGCGGUUCGAGGCCGGCGACGUCGUCCGCUACCCCAAAUGGUUCGAGGCGGACCUCUACUUCGACGGUCCGUACGAGGAGCUCUAUCGGUUCCUUGCCUACGGCGACGAUUGAUUCACGUGGUUGGCCCUAGAUCUCGAAGGUGAUGUGGUGUCCAUCUUAGGAGGGGACUUGGGAAGAUGUCUAGUGAGAGGAGGCAUGGGCUGUUUGAGAUGAUCAGAUGCAAAUGCUGGGAUUUCUGCAAUGCUACAAUACAAAAGGAUACAAGUGAAGGAGAUAACAAAGGGGUGAGGAUUACUUUGAUUGGGAGGGAUGGGAAGAGAGCUUUCAGGAAUGAGAGUGGAGUGAAGCUAGUGAUGGAGAGGGAGUGUAACAAGGUUGCUGGAUGCACCUUAAAGCUGGUGCAUCUGAAGAAUAUGAGCUUCUGUGAUCAGGUACAGAUAAUGAGGAAUACCGACGUUCUCGCAACCGCACAUGGGGCCCAGCUAACGAACAUGAUGUUCAUGCCCAAAGGAAGCAGUGUCAUGGAAAUGUUCCCCAAAGGAUGGUUGGAAGGUGCAGGGAUCGGGCAAUACAUCUAUCAAUGGUUCGCCAGCUGGUCCGAAAUGAACUACGAAGGUGCGUGGAGGGAUACUGACGGUCUAGAUUGCCCUGGUCCAGAGCAACAACGGUCCAGAUGUUUUCUCAAGCAGAAGGAUCAACCAGUAGGACUCAACGAGACGUUUCUCGCAGACUGGACUGCCAGAGUCAUCCAGACCAAAACCCGCACUAGAACUGCUGGCCAUCCCAAAUCAUGCUCGUGUGACGAUCCGACCGUUCACCACAUGCCAUAAGAUUCGUCUUGUUUAUUUGCAAACGGAGAAGA